UACGGAGGAUGCGAGCGUUAUCCGGAUUUAUUGGGUUUAAAGGGUGCGUAGGUGGCUUAGUAAGUCAGCGGUGAAAUUUUGCAGCUUAACUGUAACAGUGCCGUUGAUACUGCCAGGCUAGGAUUUGGUUGCUGUGGGUGGAAUGUGUGGUGUAGCGGUGAAAUGCUUAGAUAUCACACAGAAUAUCAAUUGCGAAGGCAGCUCACAAAGCCAAGAUUGACGCUGAGGCACGAAAGUGUGGGGAGUCAAACA
rnacentral:rRNA from 1 species